rnacentral:misc_RNA from 1 species
GAUGAAGAACGUAGCGAAAUGCGAUAAGUAAUGUGAAUUGCAGAAUUCAGUGAAUCAUCGAAUCUUUGAACGCACCUUGCACCCUUUGGCAUUCCGAAGGGUAUGCUCGUUUGAGUGUCAUUGUACUCUCACACUCUCCGAUCCUAUGGAUUCGGGGAGCGGUGGACUUGGGUGUUGCUGCCUUUCCCUGUGGCUCACCUCAAAUGCGUCAGUGCACCUCUUGGUUGGACAUAGUACGGCGUGAUAAGUGUCUUCGCCGGCACCUCGCAAGAGGGUGGCCGAUCGGGAGCUCUGCGCUUUCAAACCGUCUUCGGACAAUUUCUGACAUCUUGACCUCAAAUCGAGUAGGACUACCCGCUGAACUUAAGCAUAUCAAUAAGCGGAGG